rnacentral:rRNA from 1 species
UACGUAGGCAGCAAGCGUUGUUCGGAGUUACUGGGCGUAAAGGGUGCGUAGGCGGCUUUUUAAGUCCGCCGUCAAAUCCCAGGGCUCAACCCUGGACAGGCGGUGGAAACUACCAAGCUGGAGUACGGUAGGGGCAGAGGGAAUUUCCGGUGGAGCGGUGAAAUGCGUAGAGAUCGGAAAGAACACUAACGGCGAAAGCACUCUGCUGGGCCGACACUGACACUGAGAGACGAAAGCUAGGGGAGCGAAUGGG